AAUAUUGCGCAAUGGGGGAAACCCUGACGCAGCAACGCCGCGUGAGCGAAGAAGGCCUUCGGGUCGUAAAGCCCUGUCUAGAGGGAUGAAAAAAUGACAGUACCUCGGGAGGAAGUCCCGGCUAACGACGUGCCAGCAGCCGCGGUAAUCCGUAGGGGGCAAGCGUUGUCCGGAAUUACUGGGCGUAAAGGGCGCGUAGGCGGUCUAAUAAGUCAAAUGUGAAAGGCCAGGGCUCAACCCUGGAAUUGCAUUUGAAACUGUAAGACUUGAGUGCAGGAGAGGAGAGCGGAAUUCCUAGUGUUGCGGUGAAAUGCGUAGAUAUUAGGAAGAAAACCAGUGGCGAAGGCGGCUCGCUGGACUGUAACUGACGCUAAGGCGCGAAAGCGUGGGGAGCGAAC
rnacentral:rRNA from 1 species